rnacentral:piRNA from 1 species
AAAGCAAGAAAGGAUGCAGAACUGCCU